CUUCCGUCAACAAGAGCGCAUUCAGCUUGGCGCAGGCGCAGUAGCAAUUGAAUUAUCUUCUGGAGUUCUGUUGAUGAAUUUCCAAAACUGGGUACCAGAAAAUUUCAGCUUCACAGUGACGUCGUCAAGCCAAACUCCAUGCUUGCAAAAAGGAAGGAAAGAGACUUGCAGAAAUCCGACUGGCCUCGGGCACUUUCAGAGUCACACCACUCUGUGGGGAGUUGUCUAAUUGCCUAAAUCAGUUGUUAAAGAAGCUAGAAAAAGCUCCAGCCAUUCACCUUGUGCUUCUAUAAAACACAAAAGUACUUUUUAUGCUAGAAAAAGUUAAAAGCUUUACCUUCUGGGACAAACAGUUAAAACAUUAAAGAGCAACAUUGACAUGUUGAUUCUGCAAUGUGCUUUGCAGCAAAUGCCUGUAUAUUUAUUUGCCCAUUUUUUUUCCUUUCGUGGUUCUUGUGCUUUUGAACCAUUGUGUGUGGCAGAAAAAAUAAAUAGAUGCAAAUCUUCUCAGUUUUCUGAAACAAUGGCUGAAAAUAUUUUAGACUUGACACCAAGGCCUUAGUUAAGAAAAACAAAGUGAUCAGCAUGUUUGGGAAAAAAGGAUGUACAGCUACCCACUGAAAGUAAUAAUGUACUAGAAAAAUUAAAGGAUGUUGUGUGUCUCUCAGAGAAUUACAUUUUAAUACUUCUUUAUUGUAUUAUAUGCUGUUAAUUUGACUAAUGUUAAUUACUCCCAGAUCUUAUUAAAAAGUCUUGUUUUUAUUUUCCACUGUUUAAUGAAAUCCAGACUUUUAAAAGUCUGUAAUUUAGGAUAUAUUCUGUUUACUUACAUGCAUAGGUACAAGGCUGUCAAUUUUUUCUUCCCCAUUUGUGGGAAGUUGAUUUGAGAGACAGUUGUGUCUAGUGAUUAAGGCAUCAGGCUUAGAAAACAGGAGAGUGAGUUGUAGUCCUGCCUUAGGCAUGAAAGCCAGCUGGGUGACUUUAAGCCAAUUGUUCUUUCUCAGCCAUGAAGUCAGGCUUCGGUGACAAAUUGGUUAGUCAAUUCCUAUUGUAAACAAUGGAUCAACACCUUGGUUAUCUCAGAAAAGUGGACCUGUACUUCUGGAAAAAAAAACACUAGAAAGAGAAAAAAUUGUUGACAAAUAUAGAAAAAACUCCCAUAUAUCCAAGAGUGAUGAACAUUUCAUAAAGUGAAAAUGUAUAUGAAAAGUGUGGUGAAAUUCAUUCAUGAAAGGAACAUAAUUGUAUCCUCAUGCUGAAAGAGAACACUCCUGAAAACCAGAUGAAGUAAAACAAUGCUAGAGCAUUGUAUUUGUGCACCAUUGUAGCAUUAUUGUGCCAUUGGCAAGCUGUUACCAAUAGAUAUUUUUCCAGUCAGACAUCAAAUGUGAACUAUUGAAUUAACUCAAUAAUAUUUUAGAGAAAGAAUGGACUUAUUCAGAAUUCCGGAGUUCUCAAAGAGCUCCUGAACAAAUGUGGAGGAACCAUUGAGAUACAGAACCUUCAACAGCUUCUUUCUUCCUUUCCCUUUCCCAGAAUGGAGGGCUGGUACUGACUUUUUGGUUGAUUGUAAUACAACACAACAAAA